CGGUGUUGUUGUGAGAAGUUCAUUAAACCUUAUCAUUUAGAGGAAGGAGAAGUCGUAACAAGGUUUCCGUAGGUGAACCUGCGGAAGGAUCAUUGUACACACGAUCUCCGAAAAACCCUGCGAACCGAUGCAUGUACCCCGAGGGAUCGUGCCCGGAGGCACGAUUGUCGGCGUUGGAGCCCGGAUUCAUGUGCACCUGCCGUGAUCCCUCCCGCUGGUGCGUGGCGGGAUCGAGCGGCUCCGUUCUCGCCGGCGGACUGCCCGGACACGCAUGGCCCCGAGUCUCUCCCGUGGGAUUCGGAGUCUGGAUGGCAUUCCCCUCCUCCGGCGGAGGGGGAGUCCCGGGGGAAAGUCUUUCCAGUCCGUUAGUCGGCUGACGACUCUUCCUCAGAGUGCUCUCUCUCCGCCGGGGCCCUUUUUUUUCUUUCCCCCCAAAGGAAACUGGUGAAACGAACGUGAUGAGAUUGAAGGGAUUUUGGGGAUCGUCUCGACGGUCCUCUGCGUCCUGGAGAAAUUGUGACCAACACCAAUGACUCUCAGCAACGGAUAUCUUGGCUCUUGCAACGAUGAAGAACGCAGCGAAAUGCGAUACCUAGUGUGAAUUGCAGAAUUCCGCGAAUCAUCGAGUUUUUGAACGCAAGUUGCGCCCGAGGCUCGUCCGAGGGCACGCCUGCCUGAGCGUCCGCUCCGACCCACCCACGAGCCCGUGCCCUCCCCCGGGAGGGCAAGAGGUAGCCGUGCGAGUGGAAUUGGUUGUCCGGGAUCUCGCCCGUCCCUCGUCGGGACGGGCUCGAGUCUUCGCGGUCGGCUGAAAAACACGAGCCGUUUGUCAAGCGCGCGUCGGGGCUAGCGGUGCGUCGCGAAAAGGUGUCGUUCUCUCCCGGGCGUUCUCGUCCGGAGACGGACGCUGGCAACAAUAGCGUCGUGCCGCCCCCGGCGGAGUGUGGACUUGGCGAACCGGUGAAUAACAUGGGAACGGUGGGACUCGAGCGUCCUCUUCCCUCCGCGGCUCUCUCUCGCUUGCGAGGGAGGGAACGCGGGGGGAAUGCGCGAGAGUCGGACCGACACGUUGUUGUGACCUCAGAUCAGGCGAGACCACCCGCUGAGUUUAAGCAUAUCACUAAGCGGAGGAAAAGAAACUAACAAGG
rnacentral:rRNA from 1 species